AACGAACGCUGGCGGCAUGCCUAACACAUGCAAGUCGAACGAGACCUUCGGGUCUAGUGGCGCACGGGUGCGUAACGCGUGGGAACCUGCCCUUAGGUUCGGAAUAACUCCCCGAAAGGGGUGCUAAUACCGGAUAAUGUCUUCGGACCAAAGAUUUAUCGCCUUUGGAUGGGCCCGCGUUGGAUUAGCUAGUUGGUAGGGUAAAAGCCUACCAAGGCGACGACCCAUAGCUGGUCUGAGAGGAUGAUCAGCCACACUGGGACUGAGACACGGCCCAGACUCCUACGGGAGGCAGCAGUGGGGAAUAUUGGACAAGGGGCGAAAGCCUGAUCCAGCAAUGCCGCGUGAGUGAUGAAGGCCUUAGGGUUGUAAAGCUCUUUUACCCGGGAUGAUAAUGACAGUACCGGGAGAAUAAGCUCCGGCUAACUCCGUG
rnacentral:rRNA from 1 species